rnacentral:rRNA from 1 species
UACAGGGGGUGCAAACGUUGCUCGGAAUUAUUGGGCGUAAAGCGCGCGUAGGCGGCCACCUAAGUCGGAUGUGAAAGCCCCUGGCUUAACCGGGGAAGUGCACCCGAAACUGGGUAGCUAGAGUGCAAAAGAGGGUCGCGGAAUUCCCAGUGUAGAGGUGAAAUUCGUAGAUAUUGGGAGGAACACCGGUGGCGAAGGCGGCGACCUGGGUUGACACUGACGCUGAGGCGCGAAAGCGUGGGGAGCAAACAGG